CGCAAUUAAUAAACCCUAGAUAAUAAAAUUGCGUUACUGUUCAUCAUCUCUCCUAUUCGUGGCUGCUCUUCCGGUUCCGCAGAACAGGGCUCCCACUUUGGGGGGGCCCAAAUCGCUGCGAUCGGAGAACCUAGGGCGUGCGAUUUCCCCCAAUCCAAUCGAUAAGGAAAUCCAAGCUUCCUUUACCUCCACUUCCCUCAGCAAGAGCCGAUCUUUCUAGAUCCUUCUAACCCUAUCUUUCAUCUACCUCUUCUUCUUCCUCCUCUCUUAGUUCCCUUCCCUCCUCUCCCACCCCUCCUCCUCCUCCGCCGUCUCCACCUCUACCGCGGGCGAUGCCCUCCGCAGCGAGCAGGAGAUCGACUUCAAGUUCGCGCCAAGACGCCCCUCUCAUGUCGUCCACACCUCAACGCAGGCUUCUUCUUCUCCGUCCCUGAAAUCAUCCUCUUUUCCUACUCAUCGUUGAGCUCCCUUCGUCUCCGGCCUAAGAUUCAGAGAUUACGGAGCGGACGCAAUCAAGCACAACUUCUUCCGAGAUUCAGAGAACUGAACAAUCUGUCUCCGUCACCCGCCGAUAAGGUAUAUGAAAUUACUGGUCAGAUCAGCUUAUCGUGCUUUAAGGGCUAUAACAAGCUAACCAAAUCACAGAAAAUCGAGUGGAAUAACCGAUGAAAAAAGUUUAUGAUAGAUUUUUUGCUUACUGUUCACUUCUUCAUUAUUUAUGUAAACGAAUCAUCGAAUUACUUCUUCCUAUAGGGGGUUUUCUACAUUCCAUUCAAUUGUUGCUGCAGCAGUUUCUUUCUAUUUGCUAGUUUUAUCGGAUACUUUCAAAAGAGUUCUUGCAGAUCUUGCAGGUCAAAAGAGUUCUACACUUCACAUUUACAAUGGUGUAGCCAUGUUUGUCGGUUGGCUGAACGAAGUCACGCCCAGGUCCUGCCAAUAUUCUCUCUUUAGCCUGGAAAAAUGGCCAAGGAUAUAGGUUUCAAAGGUAAAGUAUGUGUAACAGGUGCUUCUGGCUUCAUUGCUUCUUGGUUAAUACAGCGACUACUUGAAUCGGAGUAUCAUGUUACAGGAACAGUCAGAAAUCCAGGUCCUGUCAUCUCUUUCUUUAGUUGUAAUUUACUUUUCUAAAGAGUUAUAGUUUCUUAGUUAUCAACAUGACCAGUUUUUGGGCAGUGGCUGCUGGUACACGAAGCUUUGUAUGAGUUUAGAUUUGUGAAGCUGUCUUCUGUUGUAUAUGUAAAUUUGUAGUUUGAUUGGAUAAAUUCUUGUUUUUUCUAAUAGGAGAUUACAAGAAAGUCACGCACUUGUGGGAGUUAGAAGGAGCGUCAGAGAGGCUUCAGUUAGUGAAAGCUGAUUUGAUGGAGAUGGGUAGCUUUGAUGAUGCUGUAAUGGAUUGUGAGGGAGUCUUCCAUACGGCAUCUCCCGUCUGUGAAGUGAAAUCGAAUCCCAACGCACUACAUAUUUACCUUUCCAGUGUUUCUAUAUGUGUAUACUUAUCACAUUCUACAUGCUUGAUAUAUCACAUUCUAGUUUUCUAGAUGCUGAAAGCUUCAAGCUUAAGUAAAUGAUCAGUGAGAAAACCUAGUUUUACUUGGUUAAAACUAUUGAUAAAUUAAUGCUAAGAUGAGAAUAAAGCAUUCUACAGUGCUUUGCAUAGUACCUUGCAAGAUCCACAAGGACCAUAUAUUGCCAUGAAUGCAUCUUAAUGUAGCAUAAUUUUUGCAGGCUGAGAUCGUUUAUCCUGCAGUUAAUGGUACUCUAAAUGUGUUGCGAUCUUGCGAGAAAAAUCCAGCACUUAGAAGGGUUGUUCUCACACCAUCCUCAUGUGCAAUAAGGACGAGAGACGAUAUUGACCCGAUAGUUCCAUUCGAUGAAUCAUCUUGUGCCUCUGUGGAAAUUUGUGAGAGGCUUGGGAUAUGGUAUGCCCUGGG